UAGGGAAUCUUCCGCAAUGGACGAAUGUCUGACGGAGCAACGCCGCGUGAGUGAAGAAGGAUUUCGCUUCGUAAAACUCUGUUGUUAGGGAAGAAAAAAUGUAUAGUAAUUAUAUACAAAAGAGACGGUACCUAACCAGAAAGCCACGGCUAACUACGUGCCAGCAGCCGCGGUAAUACGUAGGUGGCAAGCGUUGUCCGGAAUUAUUGGUCGUAAAGCGCGCGCAGGUGGUUUAGAAAGUCUGAAGUGAAAGCCCACGGCUCAACCGGGGAGGGUCAGUGGAAACUAAUAAACUGGAGAGCAGGAGAGAAAAGUGGAAGUCCUAGUGUAGCGGUGAAAUGCGUAGAGAUUAGGAGGAACACCGGUGGCGAAAGCGGCUUUUUGGCCUGCAACUGACACUGAGGCGCGAAAGCGUGGGGAGCAAACAGG
rnacentral:rRNA from 1 species